rnacentral:SRP_RNA from 1 species
AUGCAGGCCCUGUGCAAUGGCUUACCGUGAACCAUGUCAGGCGGGGAACCGAGCAGCAUUAAGCGGGUUUUGCCUUGUGCCGCAGCAAGCCUGCGUUCA